AUUGAACGCUGGCGGCAGGCCUAACACAUGCAAGUCGAACGAGUGGCGGACGGGUGAGUAAUGUUUGGGAAUCUGCCUCAUGGAUGGGGAUAACUACUGGAAACUGUAGCUAAUACCGCGUACCAUCGGAUGCGCCCCGGUGGGAUUAGCUAGUUGGUGGGGUAAUGGCUCACCUAGGCGACGAUCCCUAGCUGGUCUGAGAGGAUGACCAGCCACACUGGAACUGAGACACGGCCCAGACUCCUACGGGAGGCAUCAGUGGGGAAUAUUGCACAAUGGGCGAAAGCCGGAUGCAGCCAUGCCGCGUGUAUGAAGAAGGCCUUAGGGUUGUAAAGUACUUUCAGCGGGGAGGCGUUACCCGCAGAAGAAGCACCGGCUAACUACGUGCCAGCAGCCGCGGUAAUUC
rnacentral:rRNA from 1 species